AUAUAUAAAAACUCAUCCGUAUAAACGAAAAGAAUAACUCAAAUUAUGCCUUGUAAAACUCAUCAGUAUGAAUUAACCAAAUCAUGCAGUAUAAAACUCCUCAGUAUUGUCUAAAUUAGUUCCCAAAUUCACAUAUAAACCAACUUCAGCAUUACCUAGAUUAAUUACAUAUUAAUUAUACAAUGGCUGAAUGUCAUUUAUAUCUUUUCAAGUUGUCACUCACUUUCAAAAUCGUCCCUAAAGUUCAUUUUUCGUCAAUUAAAUCCUUAAAGUGACAUUUUUUGUCAUUUCCGUUCCUCCUACCCAUUUUGCCCCAAACCCGACCCAUUUUAAUCAAAUUUUG
rnacentral:lncRNA from 1 species